GUAAAUGGAAGAGUUGCAAAAGUAUAUUACUACCUAUACUACCUAUAAUGUCUCAUGGGGAUCAGGGAGCAGAGGGAAUACUACUGUUAUGUCCCAGCAUGCCCUCACACCACCUGCUGUAUUGUGGGAGCUGUAGACUCCCAGCAUGCACUAUAGAGCCAUUAACUUCACAGAGUACCAUAGCACAGGGGAGGCAUGAGUGUGUUGUUCUCCUCAGAUG